rnacentral:snRNA from 1 species
GGAUGAGGGCGAUCUGGCUGUAAUAUCUGUCACCCCAUCAGUCACCAAGGUUGGUUAGCUCAUCUGGCUGGUGUCCCCGUCCUCCCUCACCGCUCCACGUGCGUCCCUCCUGAAGCUGUGCGCUUGGCUGAAGAGGACCACCACCUCCAAUAGAGGAGGAGCGGUCUUCGGUCCAGGGUAUAUGAGUAGCUGCACCCCCCCUGCUAGAACCUCCAAACAAGCUCUCAAAUACACCCAUUUUUUGAAGUCCCUCAUCUUAUCACCCACUUCUUUUAUUUUAUUAAGUAUAUUAAACAUGCAAUAUCAUGUAUU